rnacentral:rRNA from 1 species
GAUGAACGCUGGCGGCGUGCCUAAUACAUGCAAGUCGAACGAGGUGCUUUUGUAGCAAUACGAGAGUAUCCUAGUGGCGAACGGGUGAGUAACGCGUUGUUGACCUACCCCAAAGUGUGGAAUAACAGUCCGAAAGGAUUGCUAAUACCGCAUGUGGUUAUCGGGUUUAGAAACUGAUAACUAAAGGAGCAAUUCGCUUUGGGAUGGACAGGCGCCCCAUCAGCUAGUUGGUGAGGUAAUGGCUCACUAAGGCUACGACGGGUAGGUGACCUGAGAGGGUGAGCCCCCAAAAUGGAAGUGAGGCACGGUCCAGGCACCUUCGGGUAGCAGCAGUAGGGAAUAGUGCCAAAUGGGCGAAAGCCUGAUGCAGCAACGGAGCGUGCACGAUGGAGGCCUGCGGGUAGUAAAGGGCUAUGUUGCGAGGUGAGAAAGGACAGUAUCCCAGGAAUAAGUCACGGCUAACUACGUG